UUACAUAUUAGUGACAGUGCACAAUGGAAGCUCUGGUGUGUGAUUAUCAAAAUGUUAUCUUAACUCAUAAAAAAAAUGUUAUUUUGGACUUACAAAAAUGUUAUCUUGAAAUGAGAAGAAUAAAAAAGCUCCAUCAAAAAAAAUGGAAAGACAUUAGUAGACGUCGAACUAAAUAGCAAGAAUAUAAAAAAUCAUACCUUUGAGUGAACAUUGUUGUAACUCUUCAACUCUUUGAACACAAAAAAAAUAUAAGUUAUAAGAUCUGAUGAUAAAUAAAUUGUAAGGAAAAACGAAAUAGUAGUAACAUGAAAAGUCAUACCUUUGAGUGAACAUUGCUGUAACUCUUUAACAUAAAAAAUAGAAGUUAUAAGAUUCUCUGAAAAAUAAAUUGUAAGGAAAAUGUCAUAAGAUCUGAUGAUUAAAGAAGUUAUAAGAUCUGAUGAUUAAAGAAAUUGUAUGACAAAACGUUGAGCUAAAUAGCAAAAACAUGAAAAACCAUACUUUCGAGUGAACAUUGUUGUAACUCUUCAACUCUUUAAACACAAAAAAACUGAAGUUAUUAGAUUUGAUGAUAAAAAUUGUAAGAAAAAAUCAUACAUACGAACGAAGAACCCGCCGAUGUCAUUCAUGGGUAAAGUAGUUGUGGCUAGGAUGAAGAAAUAAGUUCGCUCAAGCAAAAAUGGAGAACUUUUAGUGGAAGAAAAAAGGGGGGAACUUUCAAUGAAGAAGAAAAGAAAUAGAGAAUAAUGAAGAAGAAAGAAAGAGAGAU
rnacentral:lncRNA from 1 species